GAGCCUGUGUCUCCUCCCGCCAGCCAUUCCGUAAAGGGCUGUUUGAUUGGGUUUAUUGGUUUUUUCUUGAUUAGGACGCUGUGUGCACUGGCGCAGGAGCUGAGCUGAGGGCAGAAGCUCCACGGUGAAGAAACAGGAGGCUGCACACUCUACGGAAAGACCAGGGUGCAGCCAGUAACCGGGCCCACGUCACAGACGAAGACUCGGCUCCCGGGCCACACAGCGAAGCCGAGGCCGAGGGCUGCCUACCCUGGGCGUGCGCAGGCUCUGGUGCCG
rnacentral:lncRNA from 1 species